CAACGUUGCAGGAGAAGCCUCAGAGGUUGU
rnacentral:piRNA from 1 species